rnacentral:rRNA from 1 species
GCAAGUCGAACGAGAGAGAAGGAGCUUGCUUCUUCGAUCGAGUGGCGAACGGGUGAGUAACGCGUGAGGAACCUGCCUCAAAGAGGGGGACAACAGUUGGAAACGACUGCUAAUACCGCAUAAGCCCACGGGUCGGCAUCGACCUGAGGGAAAAGGAGCAAUCCGCUUUGAGAUGGCCUCGCGUCCGAUUAGCUAGUUGGUGAGGUAACGGCCCACCAAGGCGACGAUCGGUAGCCGGACUGAGAGGUUGAACGGCCACAUUGGGACUGAGACACGGCCCAGACUCCUACGGGAGGCAGCAGUGGGGAAUAUUGCACAAUGGGGGAAACCCUGAUGCAGCGACGCCGCGUGGAGGAAGAAGGUCUUCGGAUUGUAAACUCCUGUUGUUGAGGAAGAUAAUGACGGUACUCAACAAGGAAGUGACGGCUAACUACGUGCCAGCAGCCGCGGUAAAACGUAGGUCACAAGCGUUGUCCGGAAUUACUGGGUGUAAAGGGAGCGCAGGCGGGAAGACAAGUUGGAAGUGAAAUCUAUGGGCUCAACCCAUAAACUGCUUUCAAAACUGUUUUUCUUGAGUAGUGCAGAGGUAGGCGGAAUUCCCGGUGUAG